UAUUUUAAUUCUAAAUAAUUCAAAUAAUCAAAUAAUUUAUUCUUUUCCUACUGUUCAUCUUCUUCACCACUAUUCAUCACCACCACCGCCUACUGUUCAUCACCACCGCCGUCGACUACUGUUCAUCUUCACUAAUAUGGGACAACUUAUGUCAACUGUAACGCCCCCAAAAUAGGUAUACAACACCCAUUCUGAGUCGCCAAAAUACAUGGUAUAGAAAGCAAACUACAACUUUGAUAAUACAGAUGUAGUGUAGAAUACGACAAUACAACUGUGAGUUUAAAUACAAAUAUUAUCUUCUAGACAAUAUACACACCCAAAUAAGUCUUCAUUAAUUAUUCAUACAUUAUUUUACAUAAAUAGUGAGGACAGCUAAAACAUCUUCCUAGAACCAUCACUCCAUACCCCGACUCGAUCCUGCUAUGUUCUCACCUCCUGAGAAGAAAAAUGGAACAAAAAGGAAAAGGGUGAGCUCAACUAGCCCAGUAAAGAAUAUUAUGACUAAGAUAAUAUACAACAAAUUAUCGUUAGUCUUCAACAGGGAAAAAUCUAAUAGAAUACAAUAGACAACAAGUUUUAGAUCAACAAAUGCAGCGGAAACAGCAAUCCAUUAGAAGAGUCACGUAGAGAAAGAAUUCUACUGUCUUCUAAGGUUUAAAAGUCCAUCAUCAAUAGUUUAUCCCUGUAAUAACAAUCAAUAUACAUCUUUAAUCAUCUUUGCACUACAGGCCAAAGAUAUUCAUUUGUAUCACCAGUUGGUCAUGUUCAUCUCAACACCUGUUCAUCUUUGCACUACAGGCCAAAGAUAUUCAUCAGUUAAUCGUUCAUCUUUGCACUACAGGCCAAAGAUAUUCAUUUAUAUCACCAUUUAGGACUGAGGAUGAUGAAAAACAUUUUUAAAGAAACGAAUCCAGUGAAACAAAAUGACAAGGAUUAAGGAUUAAGGAUUCGUACUUUGUUUUACCCAUGUCCAAAAAUACUUCGAAAAUAAUCAUAUUGGUGUAAAAUUCAAGAAUGAUCAAAACAUGGAUACAAUCAAAUCUAGUAUCCAGAAUAGAUAUUUUGGGCAAAAAGAAAAUUUUUUAUUUUUCGGUGAAUAGUGCCGUAUUCGUGAAGUGCCGUAUACGUAAAUAGUGCCGUAUACGUGAAUAGUAACUCCGACACAACAAGUUUCAAAUUUGAUAAAAAGUUCAACAAAAAUUUUGGCAUAAUGAUAUUGAAGAAAAUAAUAUCAUUUGCGAAAGAAAUAACAUCCCUUACCUCAAAAUAACCGUACUUCUGACUGAAUUUCGGUAUAGUGCUGACAGAAACUCGCACCGUAUAGCAACACUCAAAAU
rnacentral:lncRNA from 1 species